AGAGUUUGAUCCUGGCUCAGAUUGAACGCUGGCGGCAUGCCUAACACAUGCAAGUCGAACGGCAGCACAGUGUGUAGCAAUACACAUGGGUGGCGAGUGGCGGACGGGUGAGUAAUGCAUAGGAAUCUGCCCAGUAGCGGGGGACAACCCGGAGAAAUCCGGGCUAAUACCGCAUACGCCCUACGGGGGAAAGCGGGGGACCGAAAGGCCUCGCACUAUUGGAUGAGCCUAUGUCGGAUUAGCUAGUUGGUAGGGUAACGGCCUACCAAGGCGACGAUCCGUAGCUGGUCUGAGAGGACGAUCAGCCACACCGGAACUGAGACACGGUCCGGACUCCUACGGGAGGCAGCAGUGGGGAAUAUUGGACAAUGGGGGCAACCCUGAUCCAGCAAUGCCGCGUGUGUGAAGAAGGCCUGCGGGUUGUAAAGCACUUUCGGUGGGGACAAAAAGUGGCGGGAUAACACCCUGCUAUCUUGAUUUAACCCAUAGAAGAAGCACCGGCUAACUCUGUGCCAGCCGCCGCGGUAAUAC
rnacentral:rRNA from 1 species